rnacentral:lncRNA from 1 species
AAACUGCCCUUAUAGAGUUUUUACUUCCUAUCUCCCUAAGUUUCCCAUAAUUUCUCCUUUAAAAUCCUACCAUUUCCUAUCUAUCCCCCUACUACUAUCUUCUAAUUCUCUCCCCCUUUUUGUCAUCAUCAACCUUUAAUCUUCUUCAUAUGAGGAGGUUGAGGAGGAGGAUUCUUUAGUGGCGUAUUUGAAAUCUAAAGGUUGAGGAGAUGAUUCUGGAGGUAAUUCUUGGGUAAAGGGAUCAGGUAAGGGUGUGUCAGACACUUCAAGCGGUUCCUAUGGAGAAGAAGCUGUUGCUGGCUUGGACUUUUUUGCCAAUUUGGAGGACUUCUCUCUUUUGAGGAAUGUUGUUUUUGUUGUCAUUGUUUUCUUCCCUUUGGCAAGUGGUUUUGUCUUUAUCUGUUGUGCUGUAGUGACUUUUUCUUUCCUUUUUUCAAAUUUUUCUUUCACUCUAGAGGCUAGUGCAGAUGUAUCUUGCUGAGCUUCUACCUUGGCAACUUCCUUUUCAACCUAUUCUUCCCUAACCAUUUGGUAGAAGAUAUCCAUAAUGGAUACUUCUUCUGAAUUUGGAGGGGAGGGUCUCAGGUUCUGAAAAAGCAUUUUCAUCUGGUGAACCUAGCACUUUUGUUCCUUGUUUUGAUUUAUCUUUGCUUUGGUGUUCAAGUGAGAGGGCCUUAGCUGGUUGAUCAACACUAGGGUGAGAGUCCUCUGUCUAAAGGACAGGGCGACAGUUUUGUAAGUGGAGCCUUCAGCUUGAACACUUUAACUUACUCCAUAUGAGCAAACACUUUUGCUUGCAAAGCUGAACCCUCAGCAAACACAUGUCUAUACGUUAAGCAAAAAUUCAGAUUUCACACCAAAAUUUUUCAUUUAAUUUCUAGCCUCAUCAAACAUCAAAUAUCACCAAAAUAUCAUAAAAUAUCAUCAAUUUCAGCCAUAAUAUCUGCCCUAGAAAAUUUGGCCAAUGAUGGGUAAUGGGAGAAAAUGAAUUUUUCUUGUUGGUUUGUUUCUAGAUAUGAUAAACUAACUAAAAACACUAACAUAACUUAGAAUCAAAUCAAUCCAACUUCAUUCUCUCUCCAUACCCAUUCCAACCAGCCAUGAAUUCACCAUGAAAACAUGAAAUCUAACCAUAGAAAAUGAAAAAGAAAGCAUGGGUAGUGUAAAUCACAAGUCAAAAUCAAGAAAUUUUACCUUUAUUAGCUUAAUCCCUUGAAAUCCCACACUUUUUCUUCAAUUUUCCCACCUAAGGUUCUUGUUUUUGUUCCUUUCCUCCUUUGUUCUUCUUUGGCCGGCCAUAUGAAUGAGAAAUUGGC